rnacentral:rRNA from 1 species
GAUGAACGCUGGCGGCGUGCCUAAUACAUGCAAGUCGAGCGAACAGACGAGGAGCUUGCUCCUCUGACGUUAGCGGCGGACGGGUGAGUAACACGUGGAUAACCUACCUAUAAGACUGGGAUAACUUCGGGAAACCGGAGCUAAUACCGGAUAAUAUAUUGAACCGCAUGGUUCAAUAAUGAAAGACGGUUUUGCUGUCACUUAUAGAUGGAUCCGCGCCGCAUUAGCUAGUUGGUAAGGUAACGGCUUACCAAGGCAACGAUGCGUAGCCGACCUGAGCGGUUGAUCGGCCACACUGGAACUGAGACACGGUCCAGACUCCUACGGGAGGCAGCAGUAGGGAUUCUUCCGCAAUGGGCGAAAGCCUGACGGAGCAACGCCGCGUGAGUGAUGAAGGUCUUCGGAUCGUAAAACUCUGUUAUUAGGGAAGAACAAAUGUGUAAGUACCUAUGCACGUCUUGACGGUACCUAAUCAGAAAGCCACGGCUAACUACGUG